ACCAGAAAAUUGAACAACAUGACAUUGAAGAGGACGAGUUCGGAUUCUCCAGAAAUUAUUUCUUAGCAAACGAAUUAGGCAAUUCCGGUAAGAAAUCCAGCCGCAUGCUCGCAGAUAUCGAUGUCGUCGAUGAACAGGAGCUAAGGGAAGCCCUCGCCCAUCUCCCCAACAUUUCUAAUUUCCAAAUUGGUGUCCGACGAAAAUUAGGGCUCUGAGUCUGAGAGAGACCUUAGAUUUGGGGCAGUUAUUCUUUCUUCGAUUUCAACGAUUAGCAGCAAAUGUCGCCUCCUCCUGGACCCUACUCCGGCACCAGCACUCUCGCCUUGGUGGCUCGUGCUUCAGCCUUCAUGUUUGGAGUCGUCUAUGGAAAUCUGAAGCUUAAGUAUCUUAAGAUCACUGGAUACACUUUUCUUCAUCCCUUCAAUUUCUCGGCUGUUUUCUCUUCUUCUGAAGGAUUGGCACUAACCUCUACUAAAGCAUAGCCGGACUGCUCCACCUAGAGAUGGCUGAAGGAAGUGGAAAUGAGGAGACAACUCUUGAGCAUACAUCAACAUGGGCAGUGGUAGUUGUUUGUUUCAUCUCGAUUGCUGUUUCCAUACUUAUUGAACAUGGUCUUCAUCUUCUGGCUAAGGUGGGAGUAUAUUGGCGGCACUUGGUUCCUUUCAGCAAAUGUGGUUUUCAAAAUCUGAGUUUGAGGAACAUGGAACUUCUUAUGUUCAAAGAAAAUGCCCGUAAAGUACUUUACUGGUGCAAACAAUUAUCACAUUAGACAGAAAUUCAUGGAGCUGACUUCACUUUGAUUAGUUUGCUGAUGGUAUGGGUUGCUCGGUUUUAAUAUCCUGCUUUAUAGGAACCCAAACAAUGUACUAUAUAUAUACUAUACCUCUCGCGGAUCGUUGCUAAUAUUGUACAAUUACAUUACCUGACUUUUAGCAUUUCUUUCAACUUGUUAGGGAUGAGAGUCUUUUUGUUUGUGCACAAGAAAGUCUUUCAAGUUAUUGUAAAUGAGAAUCUUUCGGUACUUUAUUGGGAUUUUAGUACUUGCUUUGAGCACUUGUUUGCGAUUUUAG